rnacentral:rRNA from 1 species
UACGUAGGGGGCAAGCGUUGUCCGGAUUUAUUGGGCGUAAAGAGCGUGUAGGCGGCCAAACAGGUCCACUGUGAAAACUCGAGGCUCAACCUCGAGAGGUCGGUGGAAACCGUCUGGCUAGAGUCCGGAAGAGGAGAGUGGAAUUCCCGGUGUAGCGGUGAAAUGCGCAGAUAUCGGGAAGAACACCCGUGGCGGAAGGCGGCUCUCUGGGACGGUACUGACGCUGAGACGCGGAAAGCGUGGGGAGCGAACAGG